CGGAAAAACCCGCCUUCCCCUCUGACUGGCAGGUCCGCCUAGAGGCUCUGAUUGGCCAGUAAGUCUUGAGUGACUCGAGCACCUCCUUUAGGGUUAGGGUGUGCUGAAUGUACACAGUGCAGAGGUUCUCAGCCCUAGCUUCAAGUCCAGUGCCUGACUUUUUCCAGAUCUACAGGUGGGCAGUAACCCUGUGCUGACCAGGUCUUGACUUCAGCCUGAGCUUCCCUCCCUCUGUAGGCUGUUUGUCUUCUUACUCCUGGAAUCAAGGCAUGUGAGGAGCGGCCCGGGACUGCAGCUAAGUCUUAUGACUUGCACCUGACUUCCUCAUACACCUGAAAAUAAGCCAGGACCAUCAUGAGAGCUGCGCAGGUGCACCAUAAUGCUGGCGGUGUAAACAAGUCCAUAUUUGGUGGAGGCAUGCCCCUGCCGCCCUGAUUGGCUGAAGCUGCAUGCCUGGUGAGGUGGCUUGGCCUGCCUUGAGUGGAUGGGGGCUGAGAGUAUAUAAGCAGACCUUCCUGGGUUCCCGGGGUCCCAGUAGCAGCAUUGAGGUGUUCCUGCAAUAAAGGCUGUUGGGAAGAA